GGCCUGAUAGCACAACUGGAUAGUGCAUCGCCUAGCAAUUUGAAAGUAGAAUUGUUUGAGGUUGAAGCUUUCUGUUCGAAUCGGGGUCAGGCCG